AUCACUGUCUGCGCAAGGUGCGCGCUUGGGCUUGACUUUCGUUUUAAGGUCCAACGUAUCGGCAAAUAGACUGAGUGAAAAGAACAGUAGUUUGUGAAAUAAUAUGCUGUUUCAAAUAUGUACUGCAGCUGCUGUAGCAGCUUUCAGAGAUUUUAGGCUUUCACUGUUUAUGUCCCGUAUGCAAAGCACACUGAGUAAAGGAACGGGGAUCACGAUCACGUCGUGCCUGCUGUGCCCUCGGGUGAGCGCCCUCCGCAGCCUGGUCAGAGGAGCAACGGGAGCGCGCGGUGGCGUUACUGUUACUCGUCGCUUGAAGAGUAGCCAAACUUUUGUAAACAGAGGUGAAAAAGUGGGUACUGAUAAGAAGACGAGUCAUCGACUUUUGGGAGGUGUUCUGGGGACGGCAUUUGGGUGCACAGCGGCCCUGCACUCCGCAGAGGCACUCGGGAUGGCGGGUAAAAGCAUCGAUCUGACUUCUCGGGCCACCGAUUGGAAGGAGGCAAAAAGAGCUUUGGAGAACCUCACCUCCUCAGAGAGGAGAAAGUUUUAUCACACUCAAGAUUUUAUACCUUUGGAGAAGAUUCCCCCCUGGAUACCCCCAAAUGAUAGAGAGCCUGUAGACAGAAGGAUUUCCCUCUUCCGUGGUGACAUCACCAGACUGGAGUUAGAUGCUAUAGUAAAUGCAGCUAACUCGUCAUUAAUGGGAGGAGGAGGAGUGGACGGUUGUAUCCACCGUGCCGCAGGCCCUCUCUUGAAGAAGGAAUGUGCUACUCUGGGAGGCUGUGAGACUGGCAAAGCAAAAAUGACAAGUGGAUACAGGCUGCCAGCAAAAAAUGUGAUCCAUACAGUAGGGCCAAUUGUUCAUGGUCAACCUGGUGAGCAACAGAAAAGCUCCCUCCGCAGUUGUUACUGGACCAGCCUUGAUCUUGCUGCAAGGCAUGAACUGAAGACCCUGGCCUUCCCAUGCAUUUCCACUGGGAUCUAUGGUUACCCUCCUGAUGAGGCAGCAGACAUUGCUAUCCGGACAGUGAAAGAUUACCUGACAGAAUAUCCAGAUAAGUUCGAGAGGGUGGUGUUUUGCGUCUUCCUGAAGUCCGAUGAGACCCUGUAUCAGUGCAAGUUAAAGCAAUUCUUAACAGAUCAACCUUGUGUUGGAGAGUUGUGCUGUGUGUACAAGAGAGCUGACAAUCAGUGAAUGCACAUUUUGGAAGUUCAUUGCAUAGAAUGUAGUGGCGAGGAACACAGGAAUACAGAUCCACAGUCCAACAGCAAGCUCUGAGGAUGCUCCAGUGGAAAGAUCUGCUGCCGAAUAAGAUGUUUUUGGUGUGUUGUUGUGCUGAUAUCUACAUGAUCUACAUGCUGUUAUUGAUUGAUUGAUGUUAGUUACCAGAAUAAAUAUUCCUGUAGAUUUUGCAUCAUUUCUGCACUAAACACAUUUUUAAAUGUUAAUUUUCCUUGAGUACAUUGAAGGAUGAAUGCAACACACAGCACAGGCAAACCAGCAGUUAGCAUCUUAAAUGGAAAUACGUGACACAUAAUCCAUUGGGGAAAAAUCCCUCACUUUUUUCUUUGUUUAGCUUUGUUCUCUACCAUCUACAAGAGCCCUUUGCCUGAAAAAUGAAAUACAUUUUUUAUUGUUUAACCACAGCUGCUCUUUCCUUUGCUGUGUCUUUUAAUUUAUUUUCUGUCCCACAACAAGCAAAGACAGACAUAUUAAAUCCUUCAUUAUACUACGCUGUGAAACUGCUUCCCCUAGAGAGGCAAGGGCAGCACACGUCUACUUCCAAUACAUCCCCUUCACCAGUUUUUCAUUGGCUUUUGAUCAACUGAUGAAAUUGUGCUAAUUGAAAGUCUUUGAGUGCAGGCAUGUGGAAAAAAGAAUCUCAUUCUGAUUUUGUUUAUUCUGAGGCAAUAAGAUUAAAAAAAAAAGUGAUUAAAAAGAGGUUAAUUUUCACCUCUUCACAGUCUUGUGCUUAAUGAACUACUUUCAGUUGCCACUAAUGAGUGAGAUGGAGAUCAUGGAAUCUUCUAAUUUAUCUUGUUGAGCAUGCGCUGCCGCGCCUCCUGAGGACAAUCUCUCAAUGAGCCUGUCUGCAGUCCCGUAGCAUGUGCCGCAGGCAGCAUUCUUGUGUGGAAAACGGCAAGAUGUGCCAGUGCGUUGUCGCAGCACCAUAUGUCACACACAAUCGAUAAACAAACAUGCCAAUUAACAACAAAUAGCAAAGUAAACUUAAAGCUAAUAUAGAAGAAACAUUUAAAAAAAGUCAGCAAAUCUGGUAAAUUUGUAAAAGUAUGUACUUAAUUAAAGACCCCCUCUACUCCACUAAGCACUGGUUGCACACCCACACAUACACCCACAUUUACUCAUAAUGGGACAAUUUAGCAUUGCAUAUUAAAUUAAAAUGCAUAUAUAUGAGAUGUGAGAGAAAAACUGGGAUACAACAAAAAAACCCACACAGCCAAGCGAAAAACGUGCAAACUCAAUAAAGAUUCACCAAAGCAGGGAA